rnacentral:ncRNA from 1 species
CAACCUCAACUCAUAUGGGACUACCCCCUGAAUUUAAGCAUAUUAAUUAGGGGAGGAAAAGAAACUAACAAGGAUUUUCUUAGUAGCGGCGAGCGAAAAGAAAACAGUUCAGCACUAAGUCACUUUGUCUAUAUGGCAAAUGUGAGAUGCAGUGUAUGGAGCGUCAAUAUUCUAGUAUGAGAAAUUAAUGAUUUAAGUCCUUCUUAAAUGAGGCCAUUUACCCAUAGAGGAUGCCAGGCCCGUAUAACGUUAAUGAUUGCUAGAUGAUGUUUCCAAAGAGUCGUGUUGCUUGAUAGUGCAGCACUAAGUGGGUGGUAAACUCCAUCUAAAACUAAAUAUAACCAUGAGACCGAUAGUAAACAAGUACCGUGAGGGAAAGUUGAAAAGAACUCUGAAUAGAGAGUUAAACAGUACGUGAAACUGCUUAGAGGUUAAGCCCGAUGAACCUGAAUAUCCGUUAUGGAAAAUUCAUCAUUAAAAUUGUAAUAUUUAAAUAAUAUUAUUAAGAAUAAUGUGCAUUUUUUCCAUAUAAGGACAUUGUAAUCUAUUAGCAU